AGGGGCGCGAAGCGGGUACGAUAAUCGCUCUGCGAACGGCAGCUAUCACUGAUUAAAGCCCCAGAACCAGACCGUCAGCACAUCACCCCAUCGCGUCGACUUGAGCAGACCGUCUGCAUUUAGGGAAUCCGAGAGGCGGUCUGAACGACCGAUUUGGGGCGCGAAGCGGUCAUUUAACCUUGAGGAGAGCAAGGUCUCCUCAGGGUCGAACGUUGGCCUUCAGCGCAGCCAGAUGGCGGCGCCUCUGUUCGAAGCGUCGCCAUUGAGUACUACAAUUCAACUUGCUCAGAGAUGGCCAGGGCGUCGUCCACCUCGGUUCCGAGGUAUUGUACGGUGCUCUCCAGCUUCUUGUGGCCUAGCAAGAGCUGGACGGCGCGCAGGUUGCCUGUCUUCUUGUAGAUGUGU
rnacentral:sRNA from 1 species